UACGGGGGGAGCAAGCGUUGUUCGGAUUUACUGGGCGUAAAGGGCGCGUAGGCGGCGCAACAAGUCACUUGUGAAAUCUCCGGGCUUAACUCGGAACGGUCAAGUGAUACUGUCGGGCUAGAGUGCAGAAGGGGCAACUGGAAUUCUCGGUGUAGCGGUGAAAUGCGUAGAUAUCGAGAGGAACACCUGCGGCGAAGGCGGGUUGCUGGGCUGACACUGACGCUGAGGCGCGAAAGCCAGGGGAGCGAACGGG
rnacentral:rRNA from 1 species